GGUAGAGAAAAGAAUAAGAAUUAAUAACACUAAAUCUAAUGGCGAUAAAAGCUCCCCGGCAACGGCGCCAAAUUUGAUACCACUCAAAUUACCCUAAGGAGUGAAUUACUCUCUCAAAUAAGUGGUUCAGUUGCAGUACUUAUGGAUCAAAUCCACAAGGAGUUAGGGAACCUAUUAAAUCUAGUCAAAUUAUUAAUUCUACGUGUUUGUUGUUUUAUGGUUUAAAAGUAAAU
rnacentral:lncRNA from 1 species